rnacentral:rRNA from 1 species
UUAAGCGACUAAGCGUACACGGUGGAUGCCCUGGCAGUCAGAGGCGAUGAAGGACGUGCUAAUCUGCGAAAAGCGUCGGUAAGGUGAUAUGAACCGUUAUAACCGGCGAUGUCCGAAUGGGGAAACCCAGUGCAAUUCGUUGCACUAUCGUUAACUGAAUACAUAGGUUAACGAGGCGAACCGGGGGAACUGAAACAUCUAAGUACCCCGAGGAAAAGAAAUCAACCGAGAUUCCCCCAGUAGCGGCGAGCGAACGGGGAGCAGCCCAGAGUCUGAAUCAGCUUGUGUGUUAGUGGAACGGUCUGGAAAGUCCGACGGUACAGGGUGAUAGUCCCGUACACCAAAAUGCACAGGCUGUGAACUCGAAGAGUAGGGCGGGACACGUGGUAUCCUGUCUGAAUAUGGGGGGACCAUCCUCCAAGGCUAAAUACUCCUGACUGACCGAUAGUGAACCAGUACCGUGAGGGAAAGGCGAAAAGAACCCCGGCGAGGGGAGUGAAAAAGAACCUGAAACCGUGUACGUACAAGCAGUGGGAGCACCUUCGGGUGUGACUGCGUACCUUUUGUAUAAUGGGUCAGCGACUUAUAUUCUGUAGCAAGGUUAACCGUAUAGGGGAGCCGCAGGGAAACCGAGUCUUAACUGGGCGUUAAGUUGCAGGGUAUAGACCCGAAACCCGGUGAUCUAGCCAUGGGCAGGUUGAAGGUUGGGUAACACUAACUGGAGGACCGAACCGACUAAUGUUGAAAAAUUAGCGGAUGACUUGUGGCUGGGGGUGAAAGGCCAAUCAAACCGGGAGAUAGCUGGUUCUCCCCGAAAGCUAUUUAGGUAGCGCCUCGUGAAUUCAUCUUCGGGGGUAGAGCACUGUUUCGGCUAGGGGGUCAUCCCGACUUACCAACCCGAUGCAAACUACGAAUACCGAAGAAUGUUAUCACGGGAGACACACGGCGGGUGCUAACGUCCGUCGUGAAGAGGGAAACAACCCAGACCGCCAGCUAAGGUCCCAAAGUCAUGGUUAAGUGGGAAACGAUGUGGGAAGGCACAGACAGCCAGGAUGUUGGCUUAGAAGCAGCCAUCAUUUAAAGAAAGCGUAAUAGCUCACUGGUCGAGUCGGCCUGCGCGGAAGAUGUAACGGGGCUAAACCAUGCACCGAAGCUGCGGCAGCGACACUAUGUGUUGUUGGGUAGGGGAGCGUUCUGUAAGCCUGCGAAGGUGACCUGUGAGGGUUGCUGGAGGUAUCAGAAGUGCGAAUGCUGACAUAAGUAACGAUAAAGCGGGUGAAAAGCCCGCUCGCCGGAAGACCAAGGGUUCCUGUCCAACGUUAAUCGGGGCAGGGUGAGUCGACCCCUAAGGCGAGGCCGAAAGGCGUAGUCGAUGGGAAACAGGUUAAUAUUCCUGUACUUGGUGUUACUGCGAAGGGGGGACGGAGAAGGCUAUGUUAGCCGGGCGACGGUUGUCCCGGUUUAAGCAUGUAGGCUGGUUGUCCAGGCAAAUCCGGAUAAUCAAGGCUGAGGUGUGAUGACGAGGCACUACGGUGCUGAAGUAACAAAUGCCCUGCUUCCAGGAAAAGCCUCUAAGCAUCAGGUAACAUCAAAUCGUACCCCAAACCGACACAGGUGGUCAGGUAGAGAAUACCAAGGCGCUUGAGAGAACUCGGGUGAAGGAACUAGGCAAAAUGGUGCCGUAACUUCGGGAGAAGGCACGCUGGUGUGUAGGUGAAGUCCCUGCGGAUGGAGCUGAGACCAGUCGAAGAUACCAGCUGGCUGCAACUGUUUAUUAAAAACACAGCACUGUGCAAACACGAAAGUGGACGUAUACGGUGUGACGCCUGCCCGGUGCCGGAAGGUUAAUUGAUGGGGUUAUCCGUAAGGAGAAGCUCUUGAUCGAAGCCCCGGUAAACGGCGGCCGUAACUAUAACGGUCCUAAGGUAGCGAAAUUCCUUGUCGGGUAAGUUCCGACCUGCACGAAUGGCGUAAUGAUGGCCAGGCUGUCUCCACCCGAGACUCAGUGAAAUUGAACUCGCUGUGAAGAUGCAGUGUACCCGCGGCAAGACGGAAAGACCCCGUGAACCUUUACUAUAGCUUGACACUGAACAUUGAGCCUUGAUGUGUAGGAUAGGUGGGAGGCUUUGAAGCGUGGACGCCAGUCUGCGUGGAGCCAACCUUGAAAUACCACCCUUUAAUGUUUGAUGUUCUAACGUUGGCCCCUUACCGGGGUUGCGGACAGUGUCUGGUGGGUAGUUUGACUGGGGCGGUCUCCUCCCAAAGCGUAACGGAGGAGCACGAAGGUUAGCUAAUCCUGGUCGGACAUCAGGAGGUUAGUGCAAUGGCAUAAGCUAGCUUGACUGCGAGCGUGACGGCGCGAGCAGGUGCGAAAGCAGGUCAUAGUGAUCCGGUGGUUCUGAAUGGAAGGGCCAUCGCUCAACGGAUAAAAGGUACUCCGGGGAUAACAGGCUGAUACCGCCCAAGAGUUCAUAUCGACGGCGGUGUUUGGCACCUCGAUGUCGGCUCAUCACAUCCUGGGGCUGAAGUAGGUCCCAAGGGUAUGGCUGUUCGCCAUUUAAAGUGGUACGCGAGCUGGGUUUAGAACGUCGUGAGACAGUUCGGUCCCUAUCUGCCGUGGGCGCUGGAGAAUUGAGGGGGGCUGCUCCUAGUACGAGAGGACCGGAGUGGACGCAUCACUGGUGUUCGGGUUGUCAUGCCAAUGGCACUGCCCGGUAGCUAAAUGCGGAAGAGAUAAGUGCUGAAAGCAUCUAAGCACGAAACUUGCCCCGAGAUGAGUUCUCCCUGAGACUUUAAGUCUCCUGAAGGAACGUUGAAGACGACGACGUUGAUAGGCCGGGUGUGUAAGCGCAGCGAUGCGUUGAGCUAACCGGUACUAAUGAACCGUGAGGCUUAACCU